AGCCCAGCACCGAAUCCCGCGGCCGACAUCGGGCGCCGGGAAAUGUGGUGUUUGGGAGGGUCCAUUAUCUCGAGACUAUGCGGUGCGUCCAAGUCCUUCUUGAACGGGGCCACAGCCCAUAGAGGGUGCCAGGCCCGUAGCGACUGCCGCUGGUAGCGAGAGGAUCUCUCCUUAGAGUCGGGUUGCUUGAGAGUGCAGCCCUAAGUGGGUGGUAAACUCCAUCUAAGGCUAAAUAUAACCACGAGACCGAUAGCGAACAAGUACCGUGAGGGAAAGUUGAAAAGCACUUUGAAGAGAGAGUUCAAGAGUACGUGAAACCGUUUAGGGGUAAACCUGAGAAGCCCGAAAGGUCGAAGGGAGAAAUUCAUUCGCGACUCGCGAUAGGCAUUAAGUUCGAGAGUGACGGAGGACGUUCGCGUCGUUCCGCSCCACGAGCUUAACGAUCCCGUUGCGAACGCGUGCACUUUUCUCCUGGUAGGACGUCGCGAUCCGUUGGGUGUCGGUCUACGGCUGACGGUGGAGCCCGAAAGUACGGCUUGCCGUUGCUUUCGGACCCGUUUGUCCUGGCCGACUCGCUCGACGGUAUCUCGAAGGUAUUGGGCCGCUCUUCUCUGAGCGUCUGACUCGCGGCAAGCGCGUCAGUUGCGUCGGUGCGCGGACUUAGUGCCGCUCCCGACCUCUGAUGACUGUUGGCCGUGAAGUUCUCGGACAGACCCUUUUACCGAUCUGCGACGCUAUAGCUUUGGGUACUUUCAGGACCCGUCUUGAAACACGGACCAAGGAGUCUAGCAUGUGCGCGAGUCAUUGGGAAUUACUAAACCUAAAGGCGCAAUGAAAGUGAAGGUUUGCCUCGCGUAAACCGAGGGAAGAUGGGCGAUUCACCCUUAAAAGUGGUCGUCCCGCAUUCCCGGGGCGUCUCAUUCUCAUCGCGAGAAGAGGCGCACCA
rnacentral:rRNA from 1 species